rnacentral:rRNA from 1 species
UACGAAGGGGGCUAGCGUUGCUCGGAAUCACUGGGCGUAAAGCGCACGUAGGCGGGUCUUUAAGUCAGGGGUGAAAUCCCGGAGCUCAACUCCGGAACUGCCUUUGAUACUGGAGAUCUUGAGUCCGGGAGAGGUGAGUGGAACUCCGAGUGUAGAGGUGAAAUUCGUAGAUAUUCGGAAGAACACCGGUGGCGAAGGCGGGUCUCUGGGCCGAUACUGACGCUGAGGAGCGAAAGCGUGGGGAGCGAACAGG